CUAGCCCAAACCACCACAAGCAGUAUGCAGACCAUUGGAAUUCUGGAGAAAAAUAAAUUAUGUUUGGGACCAUUUUUCCACUUGCAAAACAAUAAUAAACAAGGCACUAAACAAAAUGUCAGGGAGCAGCCACCGUUUGAAGCGCAUUGCAACAAGGAGUGGAGCAUAGAACAUAGAGUCUUCUACCAGGGGAAAGACUAACAAGCAAAACACUGUACAGAAACAGUUUAAAGAAAUUGUUAUGGGUAACCAUGUUGGUUGAAUCAGAAAGUCUGCGAGAGUCUUUAGACCACAGCUGAGGAGCUCCUUCAGCAAGAACUAUGCAGCUGAGGCAUGCACCCA